rnacentral:rRNA from 1 species
GGAUCCAGACUUUGAUUAUGGCUCAGGAUGAACGCUAGCUACAGGCUUAACACAUGCAAGUCGAGGGGCAGCGGGAUUGAAGCUUGCUUCAAUUGCCGGCGACCGGCGCACGGGUGAGUAACGCGUAUCCAACCUUCCGUACACUCAGGGAUAGCCUUUCGAAAGAAAGAUUAAUACCUGAUGGUAUGAUGAGAUUGCAUGAUAGCAUCAUUAAAGAUUUAUCGGUGUACGAUGGGGAUGCGUUCCAUUAGGUAGUAGGCGGGGUAACGGCCCACCUAGCCAACGAUGGAUAGGGGUUCUGAGAGGAAGGUCCCCCACAUUGGAACUGAGACACGGUCCAAACUCCUACGGGAGGCAGCAGUGAGGAAUAUUGGUCAAUGGACGAGAGUCUGAACCAGCCAAGUAGCGUGAAGGAUGAAGGUCCUACGGAUUGUAAACUUCUUUUAUAGGGGAAUAAACCCUCCCACGUGUGGGAGCUUGUAUGUACCUUAUGAAUAAGCAUCGGCUAACUCCGUGCCAGCAGCCGCGGUAAUACGGAGGAUGCGAGCGUUAUCCGGAUUUAUUGGGUUUAAAGGGAGCGCAGACGGGUCGUUAAGUCAGCUGUGAAAGUUUGGGGCUCAACCUUAAAAUUGCAGUUGAUACUGGCGUC